CCAAGGCCAGGUUGGACACUGGGCUUGGCACACCUGGGACAGUGGGAGGUGUCCCUGCCAUGGCAGUGGUGGGAAUUAAAUGAACUUUAAGUUCUUUCCCACCCAAAGCAUUCUCUGAUUCUGUACCAGUGAAUUUAACAGUAUUUUGUUAUAAAUUGUUGUGUUAUUUCAAACCUUGUACAAAUUCCUGAGCUGGGCAGCUGGGAGCUGAAGAGAUAUUUAACUCAAAUGUUAAUUUCCAUGUUCUUACACAUCUCCCUCCAGUCCUUGCUUUUAUCUAACAUUUACCAACAAUUUAUCACCAGCUGCCUUGGCAGAAGCUGAUGGACUGAAAUCAGCUCUGGAACAGCACAGGCCUCUCCCUCUAAAAAUACACUGCAACCUCUGGAAACUGCAGAGCAGCUCUGAGCCCACCUGGGAAGGAGCAGCUGGAGGAGUGAGGACUCCUCAAUCCUGCCAAUCCCUGGGAAAUGGAGCAGGAGCUGCUGGGGAUGGAGCCCUGGGGGUCUGAGCCCUCUCAGGUUUCCUUCAGGGUCCCCAGGUGCUCCCAUUUCUCCCAGAAUAGUUGGGAAACUCCUAUUUUUUACUAAGUCUGCUGUUUCUCACUAGCUGGGUAAGCACAGCUAAAUGUUUGGAAGUUUGGGAUUGCACAAAAUAUAAUUAAGAAGUAAUUGUGUAAUAAAAGCUGGUUUGUUUUUUUUUUUCUCAAGUGAGCAGUGAAACCUCUCCUGGCUGAUUAGAACUGACAAUUUAUCCUUGCCCUCCCUGUGAAAUCAGCCAGAACCUGAGCUGGUAACUCGAUGUUGUGAUAACUUGUACACUCAGUUUGUCCAGGACUAAUUGGAACAUGGAAUUAAUGAGAUCUGCUGAGGUAGCAAGAGGAAUUUUUAGCUGCAGCCACAACCAGCCUGAGGCAGGAGAGCCCUUUGGAACAAACACAGCGUGGCCUCAACUGGGCACAGGCUUGAAACAGGGACUGAAAGUGCCUUCACCUGGUGCCAGCCCCAGGAAAACUUGGAUUUGGAUCCCUCUGGAAAAGGGCUCCUGGAAGCCCCAAAUAAAUCAAGCAGCUCCUGCUGCCCAGGAUGGAAAAUGAAGGUCAGGGAUUCAUUAAAGCCCAAACCUCAGGAACUCUCUGCUGGAUUAUUGCUGUGGAGAUGAUUUGAAAAGCAACAUCCCAGAACUUCUCAGAAAAUCCAAAGCUUCUCCUGGCUCUCUUGGGCAUGAGUGGGGAUGCCAGAGAUGUGCCAGGCCCUGGGCUGUGUCACAGCCAGCUCUUGGGGACAUCCUGGAGAGGACACCAAGGACACCUCCAGCUAAUCCAGCCUGGCAAUCCCUGCAGGUAUUUUUACUCAGACUGGUGUUUAACAUUGCUAUUUGUACCAAUUCUCAGCCUCCUCAAAGAAAACACACCAAAAAAAAAAUCCAAUUUUCCCCAAAUCCAGUUUUCCCACUUGGCUGAGACCUUAUGGACAGGGAAAUCUCAGAGUGCCCCUGACACAGCCAAGGGUCCCUCCUGCUCUCAGGGGGCAUCUGCUGCCCUGCCAGCACUGUUAAUUAGCUCAUCCCUAAUUGACAAUCUCAGUUUGGGGGGUGGAGGGGGCCGGGCUGCAGUGAGCUAUAAAAGGAAGGUCAUGAGCAGCCUGCACGAGCUGCUGACAGCUCUAUUUAUAGCCCAGCCCAAACCCAAAAUGUGUUUCUUCCCCUUUUUUGGUGCUGCAAGUUCAGGGUUAGGAGUUCCUCCUGCAGCCUCUAAGUGACUCCUUUUAUCAGCUGCAGACACACAAGAGCAGUUUUUUUGGGAUGUUUCCUAAUUUUGUACAAAGAGAGGACAUGGGGAGGUUUUGUGUCACAGGUUCUUGGGUGGGAAAUUGAAAAAAUUGGAAUAAUAGUAAAAGACAUUGAUUUUUUUUUUUUUCUAUAGAAAGGAGGAGUUGUCUUUCCCUGGCUUGCAUCUUCUAUAAAAUAGGGUUCAACUUAUCCAGGUAAGGCUGACAGAAUAGUCCUGAACAGGUAUUUUAUAUUUCAUCAGAACAAAACCACCUCUGCUCAACACCUGGCUCGGAUUGCUCCAUUGCCCUCGUUAGGGUAAUUAAUUUCCAACUUUUAAACUUUGUCAGACCCAUCUGAGCAUCUUCAGAGGAGACUCACAGGAUUGAGAUUGGAUUUCAACAGAAAAGUCUGCUGAUAAUGAGCUAAGGAGCAUUAAUUCUUCCUUUCCUCUUGGUUUCUUCUUUGUGUGUACAAACCAGGUAUUUCUUUUGGAAUUUGCUGUUUCAAUUCCAUCUGUAUUUCUGUUUUAAUGAAGGGA